rnacentral:lncRNA from 1 species
AGUAACUCUGUCUUUUGCUUUUUGCUAUACAUUUUUUCUUAGGAAUAGUAAAAAAGUAGAGGUAACUACACUCUUGCUUUAAUUUCUGCUAAUGGCAAAAUUCCUCAGAGGCUGUGGGGGGAAGAGGGAAGGCAGCAAGGAAGGGAAGGAAGCAGGGGGGAGGAGGAAGGAAGGAAGGAAAGAAAGAAGGGAGGAAGGGAGGAAGGGAAGAAGGAAGGGAGGAAAUAUCAAAGGAGAUGAGAAUAGGUAAUAGACUGCAGACAGAAUGAAGUUUUCAUUUCAGCAGCCAGAACUAACAAGAUGAACUUUUUCAGGCAGCUGAAAAUCUAGUAUGAAAAUUAGGCUACAGGUUGGAGCCAAUAAAUCUGAGGAAGAAUAUGACAAAUAAAGUACAGCUGUGCAUCGUAUUCAUAAUAAUGCAGCUUAAUUAGCAAGUGAUUAGAAACCAUAAUGGUUAUCAAAUUAUGCUUAUGCCGGAGAUGCAUUGCAACUCAUUUACAAGUGCUAUGAGACCCCUUGCUUCCUCACAGAAACUUAGAUGAGAUGCCUCUCUUACAGGCAAGCUGCCAGUUAUUGUUCCUUAUUGUGGUAAAAUGCUUAGAAAUUCAGUAUUGAUAACUUCUUUUCUGUUAAGUUCAUAAAAUUAUUCUGGGUUUAUGUAUAGCAAUAUAUAAACCUGUUUGCUCUGGUCCAUAACUAAUAUUUUUGCUUAUGUCAUUUUCAAGUAAGUUAUUUGAAACACUUUCCUCUUCCAUAACUGGAGCUUAUUUGGUUGCUGACCUAUUUGGUCCAACAGCUGAAAACAUUUGCAAAUGCAUAAUUCCUGACUGAGAUCGAAUACAACUUUUGUAAAAUAUCCAGCAGUGGCUUACAGAUUUCAAGUGACAGGAGCAAAGUUCAUGUCUAGGACAGACUGUUUGGUGUGUAGACUGGGUAAGAUUUUAGUGGCAGAUUCCUCGAGGCAACACCAACUUCUAUUGCUGCUUGACAACCCUGCUUUUUACAGAGCGUGCUCAAGCAGUCUUAGCCAGACACCCACCUGCAGCCCAUGGGGGACCCCACACUGGAGCAGUCUGUUCCUGAAGGACUGCACCCAUGGAAGGGACCCACGCUGGAGCAGUCUGUGCCUGAAGGACUGCACCCCAUGGAAAGGACCCAUACUGGAGCAGUCUGUUCCUGAAGGACUGCACCCAUGGAAGGGACCCACAUUGGAGUAGUCUGUGCCCGAAGGACUGCACCCCAUGGAAAGGACCCAGGCUGGAGCAGUCUGUGCCUGAAGGGCUGCACCCAUGGAAGGGACCCACACUGGAGCAGUCUGUGCCUGAAGGACUGCACUCAUGGAAGGGACCCAUGCUGGAGCAGAGGAAGUGUGAGGAAGGUACAGCGUAGACAAUGUGUAAUAAACUGACUGCAACCCCCAUUCCCUGUCCCCCUGUGCCAUUUUGGGGGAGGAAGUAGAGAAUUCAGGAGUGAAGUUGAGCCCAGGAAGAAGGGAGGGGUGGGGGAAAGUGUUUUUAAGAAUUGGGUUUAUUUCUCAUUACACUAACCUGGGUUUGAUUGGUAACAAAUUAAACUCAUUUCCCCAAGUCAAGUCUGUUUUGCCCAUGACGGUAACUGGUGAGUGAUCUCUCCCUGUCCCUAUCUCAACCCUUGAGCCUUUUGUUAUAUUUUCUCUUCCCCAUCUAGUUGAGUGACAGAGUGGCCUUGGUGGGCAUCUGGCAUCCAGUCAAGGUCAAUGCAUCAUACCAUCAGACAGCAACCUGCAGCGAACAGUUCAACAUAUGAACAGUGAAAAUUUAUAUGUUGUAGAUGAAUGUUUGUGAUCAAUUCUCAAAUAAUAGAACAGGAGUGAGUUUUAUCAAGUGAAUAAUUGAGCCAACCUUGUUAUCUUCAAUACAAAGUUAGUUUAAACCAACCACAUUCAGCUGGAAUGACAGUGCUUAAUGGAAUACACAUCAUGCUACAUAGUUUGCCAAGCCAAAAUUGUCUUCUGCGUGAAUUGGUCAGUGCGAAUACCACAGAGAGUCAAUGCCAGUUACCUCCUGGUGGAAUCUCUAGAAAAGUUUUGGAAGGUCUGAGAAUGCACACAAGUUACAGUGAAAGCAAAGUAACCGUGAAGUCAUUCUUGCAGUUAAAAUACUUUUAGCAUAGUUUUUCUGCUACUUUUUUUUAAUUUCCCAAAGCAUAAAGGAAAUUGCAGCUUAAAACUCUGUUUUGACAGUAUGUCUGCCUGUGAGAGGGUAUGAAAGGUAUUACUGAGUUCUUUACUUUCCACUGUCUAUUAUGGUGAAGUAUAGGAACAGGAAGCAUAAAAUUACAUCCCUGGGUAACUGAAGGAUGUAGCACAACAAAUCCACCAAAGAGUACAGGUUGAAUAUGGGGGAGUCACACAGGUGUAGCUGCACCUCCCCGUGUCAUUACUCCUUUCUAGUGCCAUCACGAUUUCAGAGCACCACCAUCCCUGACUAUGAAUAGAGGCACCACCAGGAAAAAUGUCUGGUGUCAAAAAUUGUUAGCAACUGAAUACAGUAGAACUGGUUAUUCAAUAUGAGAUGUGAAUUAAUUGGAUCACAUUGUAAACAAACUUGAGAAGGUUGCAGAUUUGGUCUGUCUUCACUGUAUAAUACAAACAAAAGCUCAUACACUGUGAGCAAAUCACUAGGAUACUUGCCUACAGCUCCAUGCAGCAGUUAAACAAUUGGUUUGGCAUUUCCAAAGGAACUUAACUGGCUGCCAUGCCUCUUCAAUGUAUCUACAUUAAAAAUAAAUACACUUAUCUAUAUUUGUAAUGUGUUAAAUACUUUCAUAUUUCAUGUUACAUUUAGGUCUUCUUUCUGUGAUAUUGCCAAUGUCAGAAGGAUGGAUUUCAGUAAACUGUCUGGUGCUCCUGGAUGUAAAUGUAAUAAAUGUAACUGAAAAUGAAAUUUCAGAUUUGUUUCACAACAACAAGAUACAUUUCAAUUUCAAAUCUAGAUGUUAAUGUUUUAGCCAAAAUGGAUAAAUCCUUCCCCUAAAUCAUAAAAGACCACUCAGUAAGUUGGUCAGUCUCCUUGCUCACUGAAUAUAGCAGAGAGAGGGGGCUUCUUUAGAAACAUUGGUAUAAUGUCAAGUGGAGUUUAUAUCUGGAGUUUGCAACUAUGGAGUUUGCAUUUUUAAAAGACAUAUUUUGGUCUGUAAAAAAUUGUAUUUUACUGCAGAAAAUAACAGUUGGUUUCUGUGCAGUUGCCUCGAGACUGCUUAGUUCCCAUUAUCUUCAAUUGAGAUGAAUAUGUAUAAGAGAAAAUAUUUUGGCCUUGAGAGAAAGAAAGGAAAAUAGGUUUUGAGUAUCUGCAUAGCUCCAACUUAUUUUCUUAGUACAGUUGAAUCUACUGGUAGCUCUUGGUAGAAACUAGCUUUUCUUGUACUGAAUACACAGACCCAGAGACUUUUGUCUGGUGCUUGGUGGAUCACUGAAGUGAUGGAAUCAAAAGACUUUGUUCUGUGGAACGUAGUCUGGUAAUUGGAAGAGUGGAAGGGAGCCACUUUAUCAUCAGUUUGUGUUUAUCUUGUUUUGCUCUAUUUCCUGAGCUAACAAACUCUUUUCUGGUCACGUGUGUCUCUGCCUUUUCAGAGAGCAAUGAGAGAUGUCAAGUUUUCCAGUCUUUUAGGGUAGGAAAGAGGAAACAGAUACAUAAAUUAUUUCUCAAGAAAGACCUCUCAAGCCUUUUAUGUUGAUAUGACAGACUCAGCAGAAAAUCUCCAAUAGUAAAAUGCUACCUGCUUUGCUCCUGUCCACCUUUCUAGUUAAAGCAAUACUACACUUAAACUCCUAUUUCACUUCUCAGCUAAACCAUGGCAGACCUUCACCUGUAUAUCAGCAAUAAAUAUAUUAAAAAGAACAGGCAAAUGUGUGGACUUUUCUCUUUGACAUUCCUUUUUCCAGC